GGCUCAAUGGUCUAGUAGUAUGAUUCGCGCUUCGGGGUAACUAAUCCAGUGUUUACGUAAGCAUCUGUGCGAGGUCCCGGGUUCAACUCCCGGUUGAGCCC